rnacentral:lncRNA from 1 species
CACAUGAACACGAAAGAGGUUAUCUUGAACAUGAUGUUAUCUAUUAAAGGAGCUUAUAUGAUGACAUAGAAUUGGCUACGUGUCAAUCUCUCAGCUAUGACAAGUUUGGUCAGAUAAUUUGGAAUGGGUCCAACUGGUAAUCAAUUAUGGAUUUGAAGCAACAUAUCAAAGGGAAGUUGUUGAAGUUGGAGGUUGAUCAUCGAAAUACAUCAAGUUAUCAAGAUAUGAUUGUACAGGUUUCAAACCAUAUUGUCAAUUAGAGUAUUUGAUUCAUUUAAGAUUGAUGUGAAACAAUUAUAUAAAGUUUAGUUGAUUUUAUGAUUGAAAUAGUGUGAUUGUAUUAAGAAUUAUAUAUACCUAAGUAACUUGGUGCGUUU